rnacentral:lncRNA from 1 species
GUCCCUGAAGAGAUCCUCAUCACACAUUACAGAACGGGGAGGCCUGUGAAUUUUGAAACUGCAGAAUUUGUUCCAAAUUGGAAAGAGAAAACCAGAGAGGCAGCAGCCAGGAGCUAGAGACUGUUGAAAUGGGACUUGGGCCAGACUCCCCAUCCAGGAUUCGACUGGCUCAGCACUGGUGCCUUCUGGAGGUCCUGCCAGGUCAAAACAGUGGUGUAAUGUCCAAUACUGGGCUUCCCCAUGUCGAGUUGGAAGGUAGCAUAUAGGAGGACUGCGGAGAGCAACAGGCCCUUGUGCAAACAGAAGAUCUGAGAAGAAAAAGUUAGAG